rnacentral:tRNA from 1 species
ACCUGCAUGGCUCAAUCAGUUAAGCAUCUGACUUCAGCUCAGGUCAUGAUCUCACAGUUCGUGGGUUCAAGCCCUGCUUCAGGCU